GACGAACGCUGGCGGCGUGCCUAACACAUGCAAGUCGAACGGAGAUACUUUUGAAGCUUGCGAUAAAGUAUCUUAGUGGCGGACGGGUGAGUAACGCGUGGGUAAUCUGCCCAUAAGUGGGGAACAACAGUUGGAAACGACUGCUAAUACCGCAUAAUCUACUACGGUAGGAAAGGUGGCCUCUUAACAAUGCUGCCGCUUAUGGAUGAGCCCGCGUCUGAUUAGCUAGUUGGUGGGGUAAAGGCCUACCAAGGCGACGAUCAGUAGCCGGCCUGGGAGGGUGAACGGCCACACUGGGACUGAGACACGGCCCAGACUCCUACGGGAGGCAGCAGUGGGGAAUAUUGCGCAAUGGGGGAAACCCUGACGCAGCGACGCCGCGUGAGCGAAGAAGGCCUUAGGGUUGUAAAGCUCUGUUUUAAGGGACGAAUGUCACCUUAAGUAAUAUGUAAGGUGAAUGACGGUACCUUAAGAGGAAGCCCCGGCUAACUACGUGCCAGCAGCCGCAGUAACAC
rnacentral:rRNA from 1 species